GAUGAACGCUGGCGGCAUGCCUUACACAUGCAAGUCGAACGGCAGCACGGGAGCAAUCCUGGUGGCGAGUGGCGAACGGGUGAGUAAUAUAUCGGAACGUGCCCAGUCGUGGGGGAUAACGCAGCGAAAGCUGUGCUAAUACCGCAUACGAUCUAUGGAUGAAAGCGGGGGACCGCAAGGCCUCGCGCGAUUGGAGCGGCCGAUAUCGGAUUAGCUAGUUGGUGGGGUAAAGGCCCACCAAGGCGACGAUCUGUAGCUGGUCUGAGAGGACGAGCAGCCACACUGGAACUGAGACACGGUCCAGACUCCUAAGGGAGGCAGCAGUGGGGAAUUUUGGAGAAUGGGCGCAAGCCUGAUCCAGCAAUGCCGCGUGCAGGAUGAAGGCCUUCUGGUUGUGAACUGCUUUUGUACGGAACGAAACGGUGAGCUUUAAUACAGUUUGCUAAUGACGGUACCGGAAGAAUAAGCACCGGCUAACUACGUGCCAGCAGCCGCGGUAA
rnacentral:rRNA from 1 species